AAGAUUGGCCAGGCAUCUUGGUGCAUGCCUGUAAUCCCAGCAGCUUGGGAGGCUGAGGCAGGAGGAUCGAGAAUUCAAAGCCAGCCUCAGCAAAAGUGAGUUGCUAAGCAACUCAGUGAGACCCUGUCUCUAAAUAAAAUACAAAAGAGGGCUGGGGAUGUGGCUUAGUGGUCGAGUGCCCCUGAGUUCAAUCCCCAGUAAACCACCCCACUCCGAAAAGGGGGACAAGAUUGUAAGACUCAGGAGGACCAACUCCAGCCUCCAGGAUGAAAUUUGUCCCAGCUCCUCCAUUUUUUGGUGAAAGGGUUACUUUUCCAUAAAAAGAAUUCUGUGCAACCAAGUAAAAUGUGAAAAAUUAGAUCCCAAACUAUUUUAAAAUAGCUCUGUUCUUAAUACUCUUUUAGAAAGAUGGAAACAUCAGGUAGAAGGUCUUUGCAUCAUCUCUAUUUACUUGAAGAUUUUAUUGCUCCUUUUCUUACAUGCUGCUACACCCUAUAUCAGAAGACCUAGGCCUGUUUUGACAAGAGAUUAUUCUAACUGCAGCACAAUUUGUAUGAGACCUAUGUAACAGGCCUGUCUACCUCAUGGAAAUUGCAGUUGGCCGCCCAGUCAUUCCAGUUAAUCAGACACACAUUACGUGGGAAGCCUGCCAUUAAGUUUGAUGCUUUGAUGCCUGUCUGAGACUGUGUGAUGUGGUUAAGCAUAGGAAUCAUGAACUUCUGUGAGUGACUGACCUUCUUUAUAUCCUGUUUACAGGUAUGUGAAAUGAGGAGUUCCAGGUCCUUUUAUUACAAGAGAGAAGCUUCAGAAAGCUCCGAGGACUUGGCAAAAUCAGCUACUAGAAUAUGCUGCCAGAGGCGAUAGAGAUGGACGCUCACCUACCACCAGGCCAUUCUUAGACUCACUUUCAAAUUAGCCCGUGGGCCCGUCUCUGGGCAAUUUAGACAGUGAAACUGACUUUGUUGACCUGCCUGCAGCUUAUUAGAACAGGUGAUCUAUGCUAAUGUAUUUUUCUCUUAAAACACAGCUUUCUUGUAAUUUAAAGUGCUUUUAUGAAAAUAUUUGUAAUUAAUUAUAUAUAGUUGAAAAUAGUAAAAUGCUCUCCCCAUUAUAAUAUAUUUUUGUAUGCAAAUAAAAUUUGAACUGGAGUCUAUAGUUUGUAAGCUUCCCUUCUCUUUAUUUCUCUCCCUGUGUUUCCAUUCAGUAAUACUCUAGCAGGAACAAAAAAAUCAGCACAUAAGAUUAUAUAUACCACAUACUAUGCUAUUCUUUUUGGGGGGUGGUACCGAGAAUUAAACUCAGGGGUAUUCCUCAGACCUAUUUUGUAUUAUAUUUAGAGACAGGAUCUCACUGAGUUGCUUAGUUCCUUGCCAUUGCUGAGGCUGGCUUUGAAUUCGAGAUCUUCCUGCCUCAGCUGAGCUGCUAGGAUUACUGUCAUGUGCUGCUGCGCCCAGCUAUAAAUUGCACUCUCUUUAGCCUCUUUCUUCUCCUCAAGCUUCUGGGAAAGCUUUUAUGUUGAAAGCAAAUAUUUAUUUCUUUUUGAAGUUGAGAUAUUUUUAUGGUUUGGGUACGAGGUGUCCCCUAAAAGAUCAUGUUUUAAUGCAGGAGUAUUCAGAGGUGAAGUGCUUAGACUAUGAGAGCUGUAACCUAAUCUGUCCAUCCUAGUUUGAAUGGAUUAACUGGGUAGUAACUGUAGGCAGGUGGGACAUGGCUGGAGGAGGUGGGUCACUGGAGGCAUGCCUUGCAUCCCUUUCCCCUUCCCUCUCUGUGCUUCUGCUGCUGCUGUCCUUGCUCCACGAUGUUCUGCCUCACCUUGGGCCCAGAGCAGGGGAGGUACUGACCAUGGACUAAACCUUUGAAACUGUGAGCCCCUAAUAAACUUUUCCUCCUUUAAGUUGUUCUUAUCAGUUGUUCUUAUCAUUUUGGUCACAGUGACACAGUGCUGACUAACACAGAGAUAAUUCCCAUUUUGUAACAUGCAAUUCAAUGGAUUUCAGUAUAUUCAAAGAUAUUGUAAACAUCACCACUAUCUAAAUCUCUGCCUCUAUGGAUUUAUAUAGUCUGGAAUUUCAUAUAAAUGAAAUAUAUGAUGUUUUGUAUCUAGUUUCUUUCACUUAGCAUAAUAUUUUUAAAGUUCAUCUAUGUUGUCGCAUGAAUCAGUACUUUAAUCCCUUCUAUGGUCCAGUAAUAUGUUCUUGUGUGGAUAUGCCACCUUUUGUUUAUGAAUCCAUUGGUUAACGGACAUUUGAAUUAGUUCCACUUUUUGGCUAAUGCAUAUACAUGUGAAAGUAUUUGUAUGAAUGUAUGUUGUCAUUUCUCUUUAUUUUUUCAUUUCACUAGGGGUUGAACCCAGGGACAUUUAACCACUGAGCUUCAUUCCCAGCCCUUUUAAAAUUUUUUAUUUCAAGACAGAGUCUUGCUAAGUUGUGUAGGCCCUUCACUAAAUUGUUGAGGCUGGCCUUGAGCUUGUGAUCCUCCUGCCUCAGCCUCCUGAGUCACUGGGAAUACAGGCAUGCACCACCAUGCCUGGCCUUGUCAUUUCUCUUGAGUGUAUCACUAGAAGUGGAAUUCCUGGGUCAUGUGUUAACUGUAUGUUUAACUUUUUGAGAAAUUACCAAACGUUUUCAAAGCAGCUGCACAUUCCCAUUGGGUUGCAUGCAGGUUUCAACUUCUCCACGUUCUCAUCAACACUUGUAAUUCUCUCUUUUUGAAUAUUGCCAUCCUAGUGAGUGUGAAGUAGUACCUCAUUAUAGCUUUGUUUUUUUUUUUUUCUAUAUAGUUUAAUUUAUUUAUUUUUAUUUUUAUUUUUAUUUAUUUUUAUUUUUUAUUGUUGGUUGUUUAUAGCUUUGUUUUGUAUUUACUUUGUUUUACAUUUUUCAUGACAAAAGAUGUCUUUAUGUGUUUAUUGGCCAUUGUCAUAUCUCUUUGGAGACAUAUCUAUUCAAAUCCUUUGUCUGCUUUUAAAAAUUGGACUCUGUUUUUUAUGUCAAGUUACAGGAAUUUCAAUGUAUUCUGGAUACAAGCUCCUUAUUGGGUAUAUGAUUUACAGAUAUUUUCUUCAAUUUUGUGUAUUGUCUAUUCACUUUUUUGUCCUUUGAAGCUUAAAAGUUUUAUAUUUUGAAGAAACCCAUUUUAUUUUUUUUUCUGUUUGUUUCUUGUGGUAUUGAUGUCAUAGCUAAGACAUUGUUGUCUAAUCUAAGAUCACAGUUACCAGUAUGCUUUCUUUUAAUAAUUUUACUCCUGAAAGAAUAGUUUUAGCUUUUAACAUUUAUGUCAGUGACAUACUUUGAGCUAAUUUUAGUAUGUGAUGUAGGACAUAGGAGUCCAACUUCAUUAUUUUGUGUGUGAAUAUCCAGUUGUCACAAAAUAGCACUAUUAUUGAAAAGUCAAUUUUUUUUCCCGUUGAAUCAUGUUGGUACCCUUGUGGAAAAUCAAGUAGCCAUAAAUAUAUAGUUUUUAAAAAAUGUAUCUUCAAUUCCAUUCCACUGUUCUACAUAACUAUCCUUAUUGUAUUACUACAUAGUCUUGAUUAUUAUAGCUUUAUAGUAAGUUUGAAAUUCAAAUGUGUAAAUUGUAUCCUUCUUUUGGUUGGUAUGGGUCCCUUGCAUUCCUUUAAAAAUUUAGUAUUACCUUGUUAAUUUCUGCAAAAAAAGGCAGAUGGGAGUUUUGUAGAUUGUAUUGAAUUUAUAGAUUACUCUGGGGAGAGUUGACCUCUUAAUGACAUUAGUCUCCUUUGCAGUUUUUAAACAUAAAAUAUCUUUAAAUUUGUUUUCUUUAAUUUCUUUUGAUCCUGUUUUGUAGUUUUCACAGUACAAAUUUUGCCUGCCUUUCACUAAAUUUCUUUAUAAGUAUUUUAUUCAUUUUGAUGCUACUGUAAAUAGAAUGUUUUUCUUAUUUUAUUUCUAGGUUUCAUUGCUAGCAUAUCGAAAUACCAUUGAUUUUUGAUAUUGAUCUUGUGUCUUGAAACCUUGCUAUACUUGUUAAUUAUAUCUAAUAGUUUAUGUGUGUGUAAUUCUAUAUUACUUGCAAAUAGAAAUGUUUUACUUCUUCUUGCAUAUGCUGAAUGCUAACCUCUUGUUUAGAACUUCCAGUAUAAUGUUGAAAAGAAAUGGUGAGAGGACACCAUCCUCAUUUUGUCCCUGGUCUAAGAGAAUAAGUUUCUUUCAGUAUUUUUCAUUAAGUAUAAUAUUAGUUGUGGGAUCUUUUUAAAAAAAUCGAAUGAACCCUUGAGUUGUUUUCUAAGCUUGAUUUUUCCAUUACCUGGAUCUGGCACUUGUUCAUGCAUCAGAGCCUUGAUUCCCUUUGGAUAAUUUUUUUUUUCAAUCAGGACACAAGUGGCUAUUAUUUUCACUGUAACUUUU
rnacentral:lncRNA from 1 species